UACGGGGGGAGCAAGCGUUGUUCGGAUUUACUGGGCGUAAAGGGCGCGUAGGCGGCCACCGCAAGUCGACUGUGAAAUCUCCGGGCUUAACCCGGAAAGGUCAGCCGAUACUGCGGGGCUAGAGUGCAGAAGGGGCAACUGGAAUUCUCGGUGUAGCGGUGAAAUGCGUAGAUAUCGAGAGGAACACCUGCGGCGAAGGCGGGUUGCUGGGCUGACACGUGACGCUGGAUGCGCGAAAGCUAGGGGAGCGAACGGG
rnacentral:rRNA from 1 species